AUGAACGCUGGCGGGCGUGCUUAACACAUGCAAGUCGAAACGGUGAAACACGGAGCUUGCUCUGUGGGAUCAGUGGCGAACGGGUGAGUAACACGUGAGCAACCUGCCCCUGACUCUGGGAUAAGCGCUGGAAACGGCGUCUAAUACUGGAUAUGUGACGUGACCGCAUGGUCUGCGUCUGGAAAGAAUUUCGGUUGGGGAUGGGCUCGCGGCCUAUCAGCUUGUUGGUGAGGUAAUGGCUCACCAAGGCGUCGACGGGUAGCCGGCCUGAGAGGGUGACCGGCCACACUGGGACUGAGACACGGCCCAGACUCCUACGGGAGGCAGCAGUGGGGAAUAUUGCACAAUGGGCGCAAGCCUGAUGCAGCAACGCCGCGUGAGGGACGACGGCCUUCGGGUUGUAAACCUCUUUUAGCAGGGAAGAAGCGAAAGUGACGGUACCUGCAGAAAAAGCGCCGGCUAACUACGUGCCAGCAGCCGCGGUAAUACGUAGGGCGCAAGCGUUAUCCGGAAUUAUUGGGCGUAAAGAGCUCGUAGGCGGUUUGUCGCGUCUGCUGUGAAAUCCGGAGGCUCAACCUCCGGCCUGCAGUGGGUACGGGCAGACUAGAGUGCGGUAGGGGAGAUUGGAAUUCCUGGUGUAGCGGUGGAAUGCGCAGAUAUCAGGAGGAACACCGAUGGCGAAGGCAGAUCUCUGGGCCGUAACUGACGCUGAGGAGCGAAAGGGUGGGGAGCAAACAGGCUUAGAUACCCUGGUAGUCCACCCCGUAAACGUUGGGAACUAGUUGUGGGGUCCAUUCCACGGAUUCCGUGACGCAGCUAACGCAUUAAGUUCCCCGCCUGGGGAGUACGGCCGCAAGGCUAAAACUCAAAGGAAUUGACGGGGACCCGCACAAGCGGCGGAGCAUGCGGAUUAAUUCGAUGCAACGCGAAGAACCUUACCAAGGCUUGACAUAUACGAGAACGGGCCAGAAAUGGUCAACUCUUUGGACACUCGUAAACAGGUGGUGCAUGGU
rnacentral:rRNA from 1 species